rnacentral:tRNA from 1 species
AGAAAUAGGUAAUUCAAGAUUAAGCUUCUAACUUAAAUCUUAAGCGAUGAAAUUUCGUUUAUAUUUCUA